AAUACCACAUGUUUCUCAUUGACUCAAGCCUACCGUGAGCACACGCAUGUGGAGCGUUUGAUCAGCCACGUCAAUUAAUGAGGCUUGAUCAGACGCUCCUGGUUUUUUCUCCUUUUUCAUUUUCUGAUUUUAUUUCUUUUAUUUCCAUUAUUUUCAAAAAUUCAUAACUUCUUCAUUUUAAUUCCAAAAAAUAUGGGACCAAUUGC
rnacentral:lncRNA from 1 species